AAGGGAAAUCACUACCAGCACACCAAACCAUAUGUGAACCGACCCUUCUGUUGCUUCGGCGGGAGGCGCCUCGGCGCCCCUCGGCCGAUCCCCCGCCCCCGCGGCGUGGGGGGAGGCUCCCGCCGGAGGAAUACCCCAAACCCUUUGCAGCACAUGGCCUCUCUGAGUUUAUGUACUGAAUAAGUCAAAACUUUCAACAACGGAUCUCUUGGUUCUGGCAUCGAUGAAGAACGCAGCGAAAUGCGAUAAGUAAUGUGAAUUGCAGAAUUCAGUGAAUCAUCGAAUCUUUGAACGCACAUUGCGCCCGCCGGUAUUCCGGCGGGCAUGCCUGUUCGAGCGUCAUUUCAACCAUCAAGCCCUGGGCUUGUGUUGGGGACCUGCGGCUGCCGCAGGCCCUGAAAUGCAGUGGCGGGCUCGCAAGACACACCGAGCGUAGUAGCUUACAACCUCGCUUUGGGAGUGCUGCGGGUGCUGGCCGUAAAGCGACCUUUGCGUCUUUAGCACUAGGUUGACCUCGGAUCAGGUAGGAGGACCCGCUGAACUUAAGCAUAUCAAUAAGGCGGGAGGAAUUCCUUGAUUUACUCACCUCACAAA
rnacentral:rRNA from 1 species